rnacentral:rRNA from 1 species
UACAGAGGCGGCAAGCGUUGUCCGGAUUUAUUGGGUUUAAAGGGUGCGUAGGCGGCUUUGUAAGUCAGUGGUGAAAUAUGGCAGCUCAACUGUCAGGGUGCCAUUGAUACUGCGGAGCUUGAGUACAGAUGAGGUAGGCGGAAUUGACGGUGUAGCGGUGAAAUGCUUAGAUAUCGUCAAGAACACCGAUAGCGAAGGCAGCUUACUGGGCUGUAACUGACGCUGAGGCACGAAAGUGUGGGGAUCAAACAGG